GACGAACGCUGGCGGCGUGCCUAAUACAUGCAAGUAGAACGCUGAAGAGAGGAGCUUGCUCUCCUUGGAUGAGUUGCGAACGGGUGAGUAACGCGUAGGUAACCUGCCUGGUAGCGGGGGAUAACUAUUGGAAACGAUAGCUAAUACCGCAUAAAAUUGAUUAUUGCAUGAUAAUUAAUUGAAAGAUGCAACUGCAUCACUACCAGAUGGACCUGCGUUGUAUUAGCUAGUUGGUGAGGUAACGGCUCACCAAGGCGACGAUACAUAGCCGACCUGAGAGGGUGAUCGGCCACACUGGGACUGAGACACGGCCCAGACUCCUACGGGAGGCAGCAGUAGGGAAUCUUCGGCAAUGGGGGGAACCCUGACCGAGCAACGCCGCGUGAGUGAAGAAGGUUUUCGGAUCGUAAAGCUCUGUUGUAAGAGAAGAACGGGUGUGAGAGUGGAAAGUUCACACUGUGACGGUAUCUUACCAGAAAGGGACGGCUAACUACGUG
rnacentral:rRNA from 1 species